rnacentral:sRNA from 1 species
GCAGGGUGCGGUAGUGCACGCUUGUAAUCCCAGCGGCUGGGAGGCUGAGACAGGAGGAUCGUGAGUUCAAAGCCAGCCUCAGAAAAGCAAGGCGCUAAGCAACUCAGUGAGACCCUGUCUCUA